rnacentral:rRNA from 1 species
UACGGGGGGGGGCAAGCGUUGUUCGGAAUUACUGGGCGUAAAGGGCUCGUAGGCGGCCAACUAAGUCAUACGUGAAAUCCCUCAGCUUAACUGGGGAACUGCGUGUGAUACUGGAUGGCUUGGAUUUGGGAGAGGGAUGCGGAAUUCCAGGUGUAGCGGUGAAAUGCGUAGAUAUCUGGAGGAAUACCGGUGGCGAAGGCGGCAUCCUGGACCGACAUUGACGCUGAUGAGCGAAAGCUAGGGGAGCAAACGGG